rnacentral:rRNA from 1 species
AGAAUCAACGCUGGCGGCGUGCCUAACACAUGCAAGUCGAACGAGAAAGUGGGAGCAAUCCCAUUAGUAAAGUGGCGCACGGGUGAGUAACACGUGACUAACCUACCCUUGAGUUGGGGAUAACCUAGGGAAACCUGGGCUAAUACCGCAUAAUACCUACGGGUCAAAGGAGCAAUUCGCUUUAGGAGGGGGUCGCGGCAGAUUAGUUAGUUGGCGGGGUAAUGGCCCACCAAGACAGUGAUCUGUAUCCGGCCUGAGAGGGCGCACGGACACACUGGAACUGAAACACGGUCCAGACUCCUACGGGAGGCAGCAGUGGGGAAUUUUGCGCAAUGGGGGAAACCCUGACGCAGCAACGCCGCGUGGAGGAUGAAGCCCCUUGGGGCGUAAACUCCUUUCGAUCGGGAAGAUAAUGACGGUACCGGAAGAAGAAGCCCCGGCUAACUUCGCGCCAGCAGCCGC